AAGUCGUAACAAGGUUUCCGUAGGUGAACCUGCGGAAGGAUCAUUACCGUUGGAGCUUGCUCCAUCUGGGAUAGAACCCUUGAUUUUGAGUACCUUUUCGUUUCCUCGGUGGGCUCGCCCGCCGGUGGACAACCAAAACUCUCUGUAAUAGCAGUAUCUUCUGAAUCAAACAAAUAGUUAAAACUUUCAACAACGGAUCUCUUGGUUCUG
rnacentral:misc_RNA from 1 species